ACUAGUGCUGGAAGCGUGCCGUUGAGACAGAAACAAAAAGGACAUCGUCACACAUCAGCCAGCGGACCCGGCUCUUUUGUACACAGCUGACACAUACUUCCAAUUAACAGACACCAUGAGAUCCCAUGUAUUGAGCACUCUCGUAUGAGGUGCUAGAAUAGCUAAAAUAGCGCAGAGCAACGCAGAGACCCUGCCCUCGGGGAGCUUACAGGCUAACGGGUACCAAACUGACAAAGGGCAUCAGUUAUCAUCCAUCGUUUUGUUUUCCUUCUUUUCUUGCAGAGAGGUGUUCGUGUGGUGGUGGUGACACCGAGAAGGAAGGCUCUCCAUCUCACUUUCACUGAAUAGGAAAAAGCCGCCUGGGGAGGGUGAAGUUGAAAACAGGCAUCGUGGGGCAGAGCAAGGCUGGCAGGCCCAGAGCCAGGGACACGGGUCUGCGCCAGGCUCCCUGGUGGCCGCACGAGAGCAGCAGGCCAUACACAAGGCUUAGCGGGAGGGACUCACCACAGCAGGAGGGGAACUGGUUUUAAAAAACAAUUUCCAAGUGGAUUUUUUUUCUCGCAACUCGUUUAUGCUCUAAAUUUAUAAUACUGUUACUACUGUAUAUUUAACCUAUAAAAACAAAUAUUUCUACUCCAGAAAUAUUUUUUACGUACCACCCACAGAUGUCACUCCAUUCAUUAAAUCUCUGUUGGUGGGAUUAUAGGCUCACCUUAUACUGAUUAAACAAAACCUUCUAAAGCCCUUUCACACGUAGAAUUUCAUUGGACCCAGGCCCAACCAGGACCCUGAUGAAACAGAUACGUCGUGACUCUGUUUAUAUAUUUUUUCCUCAGUGCCAUCUUGAAAAUUCAUUUCUGAUAAAGGAAAUACUGUUUUCUCCUUGUUUAAAUGAGAGUCCUCUAAUACAAAGAAGUUUUUGUUUAAGCAGAAAUGACUUCAAAUUAUAGCAGCUAAAAAGUAAGUUCAUUUCGCCCAAGCCAGUUAACACUUGUUCAUGUAUACAGUGAAGGGACAUUUUAUAAAGACUUUUCUGUCACUAAAAUGUGGUUCCACUAUUGGGUACUGUUCUUAACUCUUAGCGAGAUGCCAAGAGCAUAAACAAAAGAAUUGGCCAUUCUCUCUCUUCCCUUCAUAGGAACAAGGACCCCCCGAUGGGGAAGGCAGCUGAUGGUGGUCACAUGAAGGCAGGACAAGGGAAGCUAGGCCAGGCCCCUCUGUUCCUGCGGUCAGCUCAGAGGGGACGAGAGGGUCUGCCAACUUUACAGGGAGCAGACUGUCCUCCCCCACCUGAGUAGCUAUACUGAGGCCGGAAACAGAGGGCCUUGCUUGGCCUAUAUCCUCGGGCGGGCCUGGGCCUGACUUAGAAGGACACAGUCCUCAGAGUCAAACCCGGGGCUGAGCCUUCAGGUCUAGACCCUCAUGCAGGGAUGGUAUUUUGUCCUCAUCAGCGUCACAAAGAGAAUCAAACUCUUGCAGCACCGCGUUCCAGUCCAGCCCGGAGCUGAAGAGGUCUUUGGGGUACAGGACCCCGCCCACGUGCCCUGCCCCUCCUCUACAGGAAGCCUGAUAUCAGAACCAGCCUCUUGGUGGUUGUGGCAGAUGUCCUGGGAGAUGUGGAUACCGACGGGGAGAACACUCGCUGCCUGCUCUGCGGGGAGGGAAGGCGUGGCCCUGUGCUCUGAGCAGCUGUGCAGCCGGCACGGCCCCUCCCAGCUGUCCCAGGCAACUUCUCGGGCGAUAAGCUUCUGAAGGGAAAUAACGGAUGGCUUCUGAUCCUGCGCAAAAUAGGAGGACGUGCAGAUGAAACAGCAUCCCAUCCAAAGUGAGGUCUCGCAGAGCACGUUAGCGAAGGAAAGCAACCGUGUUAGCAUCCACAGCCCCACCACAUCUGAGGUCUGCAGACACACCUCCCUGUAGGCAUGGAAGGCCUCUGCCACAGAAGAGGAGGAACCGGAGCUGCCACUGUAGCCCCAUGGUUACAAUAUAUCCACUGUGAUUCCACAAGGUGUCUGAGUCUAUGGGUGAGCAAUUCUAUUUGUGAUUCCACUGUGAUAACAAGACCUGAAGGUCACCUCCUCAUUUCAACUUGCACAUCUACAUGGCAAGACAACCUCCUACACUCAGCAUUCCAGGAUUUAGUGAACACAUCUGCUUUUUCCUAUUCAUUGUAUAUAUUUGAGUCCUACUGCCAUUUCCAGCUGAGUCCUCUUUGAAAACAAUUAUCUUUUAGGGAA